AUGGCAGACAAGAAAAAGGCAAUCAAUGUGGCAAUUCCCAAAAAAGAAAAGACAGUGAGGCCUCCAGCAUCCCCUGAGAAAGUUGUAGGGGCCCCAGUUCUUAAGAAAGAGAAGAAGUCAAAACUGAAAGAUGUUGCUGUGGAAUCUAACGGGAUGGUCGACCCUGAAGAUGAGAACCUCAGUUUGGAGGCUUCCGGAACGAAAGAACGCGUGACCAAAAACCUUGGACGUAAACUCAAGUCAGCACUCAAGGAACAGCUGAGGAUAAUUCAUGAGAAGAUUGAAGCAAAAAAGAUUGCUAAGAUGGCACUGGCUGAAGUGCGUACCGUACUGGCCGAGGAAGAAGAGGAAAGGCAGGCAGCUCGAGCCCUGGAGCUGAAGAGACAGGAAGCUGCUCAGAGAGAGAAGGAAGAGGCAGAAGCCAAGCUUAAAGAAAAAAAGGAGAUGAAGGAAAGAGAGGAACGAGAGAAGGAAGCAUCGAUAAAGGAUGAGAGGAAAAUAACAGAGGAAGCAGAGAAGGAGAAGGCAGCAAGGGAUAAGGUAGCCAAGGAGCAGGCAGAAAAAGAGAGGGAUGAAAAGGAAAAGAUAGAAAGGGAAAGACUUGCCAAGGAGGGUGCAGAAAAAGAGAGAGCAGAGAAAGAAGGGCUAGCAAAAGAAAAGGCUGAGAAAGAGAGACUAGCCAAAGAAAAAGAGGAAAAGCAAAGAGCAGAGGAAGAAAAACUAGUCAAGGAGAAAGCUGAGAAAGAGCGGCUAGCUAAAGAGCAAGCAGAGAAAGAACGACUUGCAAAAGAGAAGGGAGAGAGGGAAAGACUGGCUAAAGAGCAGGCAGAGAAAGAGAGGCUAGUUAAGGAGAAAGCUGAAAAGGAGCGGCUAGCUAAAGAGCAGGCAGAGAAAGAGAGACUAGCCAAAGAGAAAGCGGAGAAGGAGAGACAAGCAAAAGAGCAGGCAGAGAAAGAGAAACUAGCUAAGGAGAAAGCUGAAAAGGAGCGGUUAGCUAAAGAGCAGGCAGAGAAAGAGAGACUAGCCAAAGAGAAAGCGGAGAAGGAGAGACAAGCAAAAGAGCAGGCAGAGAAAGAGAGGCUAGCGAAGGAAAAAAUUGAAAAAGAGCGCCUAGCUAAAGAGCAGGCAGAGAAAGAGAGACUAGCCAAAGAUAAACCAGAGAAAGAGAGUCUAGCUAAAGAGCAGGCAGAGAAAGAGAGACUAGCCAAAGAUAAACCAGAGAAAGAGAGUCUAGCUAAAGAGCAGGCAGAGAAAGAGAGACUAGCCAAAGAUAAACCAGAGAAAGAGAGUCUAGCUAAAGAGCAGGCAGAGAAAGAGAGACUAGCCAAAGAUAAACCAGAGAAAGAGAGUCUAGCUAAAGAGCAGGCAGAGAAAGAAAGGCUAGCCAAAGAGAAAGCGGAGAAGGAGAGACAAGCAAAAGAGCAGGCAGAGAAAGAGAGGCUAGCUAAGGAGAAAAUUGAAAAAGAGCGGCUAGCUAAAGAGCAAGCAGAGAAAGAACGACUUGCAAAGGAGAAGGGAGAGAAGGAAAGACUGGCUAAAGAGCAGGCAGAGAAAGAACGACUUGCAAAGGAGAAGGGAGAGAAGGAAAGACUGGCUAAAGAGCAGGCAGAGAAAGAACGACUUGCAAAGGAGAAGGGAGAGAAGGAAAGACUGGCUAAAGAGCAGGCAGAGAAAGAACGACUUGCAAAGGAGAAGGGAGAGAAGGAAAGGUUAGCCAAGGAGAAGGUAGAGAGUGAAAGAAUGGCGAAGGUACAGGCAGAAAAAGAAAGGCUUGCUAAGCAAGCAGAGAAAGAAAGGGCAGAGAAGGAGAAAUUGGUAAAGGAAAAAGAAGAUAAAGAAAGAGCUGAAAAAGAGACUGUAGCAAAGGAGACAGAGAGACAUGAGAAAGAAAAGGUAGCCAAGGAAAAAGCACAGAAAGGUAAGUCUGCUGAGAAGAAGGUUGGUAAGGAGAAGGCAGAGAAAGAGAUGACUACAAAAGAAAAGAAAGAAAAAGAUCAGACAGAAAAGGAAAAGGCUGAUACAGAAAAAGAGAAGAAACCCAAAGCAGACAAGAAUAAGGAGAAGGAUAAUGAAGCAGGUGGGAACAGGGGAAGGAGUGCCAAGGAAGAGAGGGUUUCUGUACGGGAUCUCCUCAAGUCAUCCAAGAAGUCUGGAAGUAAAAAAUAG
ensembl:lncRNA